rnacentral:tRNA from 1 species
ACCUGGCUGGCUCAGUCGGAAGAGCAUGAGACUCUUGAUCUCGGGGUUGUGAGUUUGAGCCCCAUGUUGAGUA